rnacentral:misc_RNA from 1 species
GAUGAAGAACGCAGCGAAAUGCGAUACGUAAUGUGAAUUGCAAAUUCAGUGAAUCAUCGAGUCUUUGAACGCACAUUGCGCCCCCUGGUAUUCCGGGGGGCAUGCCUGUCCGAGCGUCAUUGCUGCCCUCAAGCACGGCUUGCGUGUUGGGCCCCGUCCUCCGAUCCCGGGGGACGGGCCCGAAAGGCAGCGGCGGCACCGCGUCCGGUCCUCGAGCGUAUGGGGCUUUGUCACCCGCUCUGUAGGCCCGGCCGGCGCUUGCCGAUCAACCCAAAUUUUUAUCCAGGUUGACCUCGGAUCAGGUAGGGAUACCCGCUGAACUUAAGCAUAUCAAUAAGCGGAGGA